AUGGUGAGGUAACGGCUCACCAUAGCAAUGAUGUCUAGGGGUUUUGAGAGGAAGGCCCCCCACACUGGGACUGAGACACGGCCCAGACUCCUACGGGAGGCAGCAGUGAGGAAUAUUGGACAAUGGAUGGAAAUCUGAUCCAGCCAUGCCGCGUGCAGGAAGACGGCCUUAUGGGUUGUAAACUGCUUUUAUACGGGAGCAAUAAGGGUUACGAGUAAUCCGAUGAGAGUACUGUAUGAAUAAGGAUCGGCUAACUCCGUGCCAGCAGCCGCGGUAAUACGGAGGAUCCGAGCGUUAUCCGGAAUUAUUGGGUUUAAAGGGUGCGUAGGCGGCCAUUUAAGUCAGCGGUGAAAUUUUGCAGCUUAACUGUAACAGUGCCGUUGAUACUGUUUGGCUAGGAUUUGGUUGUAGUGUGCGGAAUGUGUGGUGUAGCGGUGAAAUGCUUAGAUAUCACACAGAACACCGAUUGCGAAGGCAGCACACUAAGUCAUUAUUGACGCUGAGGCACGAAAGUGUGGGGAUCAAACAGGAUUAGAUACCCUGGUAGUCCACACUGUAAACGAUGAUAACUCGCUGUCGGCGAUACACAGUCGGU
rnacentral:rRNA from 1 species